CUCUGAUCAUGCACUCUUAAUACACCAUUUUACAUAGUCACAAAUAUAGUUUAAUAUAGACUGUGUGUUACUGAGUGUUGAUAAAGAAUGAAAAUGGAACAGAAAAAAAAAAAUAAUCCAGAAUUUAAAAUCUAUAUGAUUCUUGACCCUCUACUACUUAAACCAACAACACAAAUGAGCACAGUUACAAAUAUUAACAUUAAUGUGGCCGAGCAUUACUAUCGUGAUCAUUUCCAAGCAGUACCAUUUAACUGUGUAACAUUAAAUUAAUAUGUCAUUUAUCUCCACAUUGUUUUAAUCUAAAAGGUGUUUGACCUGUAUAUUGCAUUAAAAGCCAGGAGGCCUUUCUGCGUUGAGUUUGCAUGUAUAUAAAGACAUGCAGGAUAGGUGAAUUGGAGACUAAUUUGUCUGUAGGGGUGUGUGUGUGUUAGCUCUGUGAUGGACAGGCCAUCAAUCCAUCCUCCCUAUGGCACGAGAUGCUGAUAUAGUCUCCAGUAUUACUGCGACCCUGCAUAGAAAAUGAAUAGAUGGAUGCCCUGUGUGACCAGAAUUAUACUGGACAAAUAGUUUCUGUCACAUCAUACAGUGCUCUAUAACUUAGACAGUGAUAUGAGCUGUGACCAGUCUCUGUCUUCCACUGGAGUUGCUCCUGUCAGUUUUAUGGUCUGUGUGUGACCUAAACAUUCAGUUAUAAAAGCAUUCAAAGCUGCUGUAGGUUAAGAUAUGACAGACGAGCUUCAGCCUUGACUGGAUGUGUGUCGUGUCUACUUUGAUAAGACUUUGUGGAGCCAUGUAGAUAUAAAAAGUACUUGACAUCAUGUGACUAUAGCCAAAACAUUUAGCCUUACAGACAUUUAUCUUGACCAGUCAGCAGACCUCAGUUUUCCCUCACUGCUGUACAGUUGUGAUAUUCAGUGCUCACUCUGUGUUUGAGCUUUCGUAAAAAAUAGUUUAAACAUUUCAAAAUGAACAACCAAGCAGAACAAGAGAGAGAGAGAGAGAGAGAGCAGGUUCAGCAUUUGUAAUGAUGCCAUUUGUUCAAGCAUUACUGCUUCUCUGUGUACCAGUUUUACCUCUUCUUCAAUCAAAAUUAAAAUGUCUCCGCCGAAGAUGGAUAACAUUAUUGUGGAUAAUAACAAUAACACUCCUGGAUAU